CUUGCGCUGCAGAUGACAACAAAACCAGCCAAAUAACAACGCCACUAUAGGCGAGGAUGUGUGGAACAGGCGAACCAAGGACACGGACGACGAGAGGAGCGUUGGAAACAGGUCAUUUAUUUUGUUUCUAUUUCAUCGUGCAACAUUUGAGCCAACAAAUUGGGUAUGUGUGUGACGAUCCCGUUGUGCUGCAGCAGCAUGCAUCCGCGGUCUGAUGCAUCACGGGUUGUGUGAUUUGAAUCUCAACUGAAAAAAUAGCACCCGGAAUGUAGCCGGAAGAUCACUGGUUGGGUGGUUAGUCUAGACAUAGGGAAUGUUUGUUUAUAUAAAAUACUUUCCGAAAAAUGUACUAAAAGCUGAAGAAAUCAUAAAAAUGAAUAAAAAACUAUUCUCAAACGUUAUGCUAUUAACACGUGCUUCAACAUUCAACACGUGGUUUAAAUCUCCGCACGUAGGAAGGAGAUGAUCGAGAUACUUUAUCAGCAUGUAAGAAAUCUAAAUUUGACGUUAGAUCUCGAGGUCCUUAGAGACCCUAAUCAGAAUGAACAACCGUUCCCCAUACCCAGACCAGACGGAAUCUGCGAGAGAGAGGGAGAAGUUUAGAAGCUCGAGAGAACGGUGGAGGGGGAGGGAGAAGGGGGUUUUCUCAUGACAUCGCAGAUCCUUCGAAAGACCAAUCUCCUAUAACGGGGCCGCUUACGAAGUCCUAUUUCACAAAGGGAUUCAAGAAGAAUAACUUGAUAAAAAUAGCUAGUUAUAAAAAAAAA